rnacentral:rRNA from 1 species
UACAGAGGCCACAAGCGUUAGGCGGAAUCACUGGGCUUAAAGCGUGUGUAGGCGGGUUGGUAAGUAUCUUGUGAAAUCCCACGGCUUAACCGUGGAAUUGCUGGGUAUGACUGCCGAUCUUGAGUCAUCUAAGAGGUAACCGGAACAGAUGGUGGAGCGGUGAAAUGCAUAGAUAUCGAUCUGGAACGCCAAUGGUGCAGACAGGUUACUGGGGAUGUACUGACGCUGAGGCACGGAAAGCCAAGGG